rnacentral:rRNA from 1 species
CCCAAACCGACACAGGUGGUCAGGUAGAGAAUACCAAGGCGCUUGAGAGAACUCGGGUGAAGGAACUAGGCAAAAUGGUGCCGUAACUUCGGGAGAAGGCACGCUGACAUGUAGGUGAAGUGAUUUACUCAUGGAGCUGAAGUCAGUCGAAGAUACCAGCUGGCUGCAACUGUUUAUUAAAAACACAGCACUGUGCAAACACGAAAGUGGACGUAUACGGUGUGACGCCUGCCCGGUGCCGGAAGGUUAAUUGAUGGGGUCAGCGCAAGCGAAGCUCCUGAUCGAAGCCCCGGUAAACGGCGGCCGUAACUAUAACGGUCCUAAGGUAGCGAAAUUCCUUGUCGGGUAAGUUCCGACCUGCACGAAUGGCGUAAUGAUGGCCAGGCUGUCUCCACCCGAGACUCAGUGAAAUUGAACUCGCUGUGAAGAUGCAGUGUACCCGCGGCAAGACGGAAAGACCCCGUGAACCUUUACUAUAGCUUGACACUGAACAUUGAGCCUUGAUGUGUAGGAUAGGUGGGAGGCUUUGAAGCGUGGACGCCAGUCUGCGUGGAGCCGGCCUUGAAAUACCACCCUUUAAUGUUUGAUGUUCUAACGUGGACCCGUGAUCCGGGUUGCGGACAGUGUCUGGUGGGUAGUUUGACUGGGGCGGUCUCCUCCUAAAGAGUAACGGAGGAGCACGAAGGUUGGCUAAUCCUGGUCGGACAUCAGGAGGUUAGUGCAAUGGCAUAAGCCAGCUUGACUGCGAGCGUGACGGCGCGAGCAGGUGCGAAAGCAGGUCAUAGUGAUCCGGUGGUUCUGAAUGGAAGGGCCAUCGCUCAACGGAUAAAAGGUACUCCGGGGAUAACAGGCUGAUACCGCCCAAGAGUUCAUAUCGACGGCGGUGUUUGGCACCUCGAUGUCGGCUCAUCACAUCCUGGGGCUGAAGUAGGUCCCAAGGGUAUGGCUGUUCGCCAUUUAAAGUGGUACGCGAGCUGGGUUUAGAACGUCGUGAGACAGUUCGGUCCCUAUCUGCCGUGGGCGCUGGAGAACUGAGGGGGGCUGCUCCUAGUACGAGAGGACCGGAGUGGACGCAUCACUGGUGUUCGGGUUGUCAUGCCAAUGGCACUGCCCGGUAGCUAAAUGCGGAAGAGAUAAGUGCUGAAAGCAUCUAAGCACGAAACUUGCCCCGAGAUGAGUUCUCCCUGAGACUUAGAGUCUCCUGAAGGAACGUUGAAGACGACGACGUUGAUAGGCCGGGUGUGUAAGCGCAGCGAUGCGUUGAGCUAACCGGUACUAAUGAACCGUGAGGCUUAACCUUACAACGCCGAAG